rnacentral:lncRNA from 1 species
AAAAUCCCAGUUUCUAACUGGCGAAAGAAAACGGUUUUGAAUCAGAGUUGAGUCUCAGGUUGAAGAUUUCUCUGACGUGAGAAAGUUUUCCUCCUUCUCCUACUCCGAUACUCGUCUAAACCCAGGACGCUCUCCGCGCAAGGGUAGUGAACAGAGCACUGGACAAACUUCAGGCAGACAACCUUCAGAGGAAGCUAAUACAGAAUAUUCAGAAUUUGGAUCUGGAGUCAGUUUGUGUAAUAAUGACGAUGAGGAUGAGGAUGGUACGAGAAUAUUAACCCCUGGUGAUGAUGAGGAGCAGGAUAAUCCAGGAUUCAUGGAGUCAGUUCUAGAGAGAAUGGACGCAGAGCACGAGAGUAUGGAUGCAAUACAUGGAAGUAUAGAUAUCGCUCACUGUAGCAUU